UAGAUCAGAAGCGAGAAUGUUGACAUGAGUAGCGAUAAAGAGGGUGAGAGACCCUCUCGCCGUAAGUCCAAGGGUUCCUGCUUAAAGCUAAUCUGAGCAGGGUAAGCCGGCCCCUAAGGCGAGGCCGAAAGGCGUAGUCGAUGGGAACCAGGUUAAUAUUCCUGGGCCAGGAGGAAGUGACGGAUCUCGAAGGUAGUUUGCCCUUAUCGGAUUGGGUGGGCUGCUCAGAGGUUCCAGGAAAUAGCCCUCCAUCAGACCGUACCCUAAACCGACACAGGUGGACUGGUAUAGUAUACCAAGGCGCUUGAGAGAACCACGUUAAAGGAACUCGGCAAAAUGCCUCCGUAAGUUCGCGAGAAGGAGGCCCCAUAUCUGGGCAACCAGGUGUGGGGGGCACAAACUAGGGGGUGGCGACUGUUUACUUAAAACACAGGGCUGUGCGAAGCCGUAAGGCGACGUAUACAGUCUGACGCCUGCCCGGUGCUGGAAGGUUAAAAGGAGGGGUGCAAGCUCUGAAUUGAAGCCCCAGUAAACGGCGGCCGUAACAAUAACGGUCCUAAGGUAGCGAAAUUCCUUGUCGGGUAAGUUCCGACCUGCACGAAUGGCGUAACGAUCUCCCCGCUGUCUCUAACGUGGACUCAGCGAAAUUGAACUGUGUGUCAAGAUGCACACUACCCGCGGUUAGACGGAAAGACCCCAUGCACCUUUACUCCAGCUUUGCACUGGUAUCAGGAUUGUGAUGUGCAGGAUAGGUGGUAGGCAUCGAAGCGGGGACGCCAGUUCUCGUGGAGCCUCCCUUGAGAUACCACCCUUCGCCAUCUUGAUAUCUAACCGCGGCCCGUUAUCCGGGUCCGGGACCCUGCAUGGUGGGGAGUUUGACUGGGGCGGUCGCCUCCCAAACAGUAACGGAGGCGCGCGAAGGUAGGCUCAGACCGGUCGGAAAUCGGUCGUUGAGUGCAAUGGCAGAAGCCUGCCUGACUGCAAGUCUGACAAGACGAGCAGAGACGAAAGUCGGUCAUAGUGAUCCGGUGGUCCCAAGUGGGAGGGCCAUCGCUCAACGGAUAAAAGGUACGCUGGGGAUAACAGGCUGAUGAUGCCCAAGAGUCCAUAUCGACGGCAUCGUUUGGCACCUCGAUGUCGGCUCAUCUCAUCCUGGGGCUGGAGCAGGUCCCAAGGGUAUGGCUGUUCGCCAUUUAAAGAGGUACGUGAGCUGGGUUUAGAACGUCGUGAGACAGUUCGGUCCCUAUCUGCCGUGGGUGUAGGAGACUUGAGAAGAGUUGCCCCUAGUACGAGAGGACCGGGGUGAACGAACCACUGGUGGACCAGUUGUCGUGCCAACGGCAGUGCUGGGUAGCUAUGUUCGGACAGGAUAACCGCUGAAGGCAUCUAAGCGGGAAGCCCCCUUCAAAACAAGGUCUCCCUUGAGAGCCGUGGAAGACCACCACGUCGAUAGGCCGGA
rnacentral:rRNA from 1 species